GAUGAAGAACGUAGUGAAAUGCGAUAACUAAUGUGAAUUGCAGAAUUCCGUGAAUCAUCGAGUCUUUGAACGCACAUUGCGCCCCCUGGUAUUCCGGGGGGCAUGCCUGUCCGAGCGUCAUUGCUGCCCAUCAAGCACGGCUUGUGUGUUGGGUCCUCGUCCCCCCCGGGGGACGUGCCCGAAAGGCGGCGGCGGCACCGCGUCCGGUCCUCGAGCGUAUGGGGCUUUGUCACCCGCUCUGCAGGCCCGGCCGGCGCUGGCCGACGCGAAAGCAACCAUUUUUUCUCCAGGUUGACCUCGGAUCAGGUAGGGAUACCCGCUGAACUUAAGCAUAUCAAUAAGCGGAGGA
rnacentral:misc_RNA from 1 species